GGUCAGCUGGGCGGACGUGGCGACGCACCGCCCUGACCGCUGGACAGCUGGGCUGUGGAGGCUGUUUGCUAAUCUGCCUGCAGCAGAAUAAUCUGAUAAAACAGAUGGAAACAUGGAGGGAGCCGCUGUUGUUGUCGCUUCACCACCGCGGAGAUGCAGCAUGGUCUGUGCGCACAGCUGCGACUUUCUGUCUGCAAAGUUUUCUGGUACACCUCCAAACCAGGUCGGGCAUGUCACAGGAAUGAAGAUCAAGCGCCUCCACCCGGAUUAAGGCCCCGCUGAUGUCCCGCUGCUCAGCCCGCUGUCAGCCGUCUCUAAAGUAAAAUAACUGCCUACGACGCUCUGCUGAAGAACCUGUCAGGGUGAUCCUGCAGCAGGGAGCUGAUUGGCAUCACAAGGCCUUCUGGAGCUGGGAAAUCCUCUUCAAAGAUAAUCCAUCAGCAGGCCCCUGUUAAAACAUGACUAUUUGGAAACAGGAAACAAGGGAUACAGCCCUUCUAAAUAUUCAUCAGAGACACUGCAGGACCUUCAGGGCGGCGUCAUGCUGCCACAGCUCACUGGAGGAGGAAGGCCAUGACGGUGAGGUCAUAAAAAAUAUUCUCCCAACGAUUCACUGAUUCCCAACAUAAGUCUAUAAAAUCAAAGUGGGAAAAACUAAAGAAAGAUGAACAGGAUCAGGUUGAUUUACAGGAAACGUGGACACGUGUAGACCAGUGUUUAGCAAUUUAACAAACUUUAUAAGCUCCAAAACAUUGUUAGUUUGACCUCGUUUUACUCUCCAGAAGCUGGAUGAAGAUGAGAUAAAGUCAAACAAUAAAAACUUUUAAAAAACUCAAAAUAACAGAAUCAAUCACACGAAGACACACAACUGUUUAAAUCUGGAAAACAUCUGGAAUGACUAAAACAACAAAGUAAAUAAUCACAAAUAAAUUAUUUUAGAGCACGUUUAUAAAAUGUUCUGUAGUUUCUGAAAUGUUGCUGUAAAAUUUAAUAAAAAGGGAUGUUAAUAAAGCUUAAUGUCUAAUGAUGUAUUUAUUUAAAUGAUGGCUUUGUUGAUUUUUGUCUUAUGAUGUGAAGGGAGAUGUUAAAAUAAUCAUCCUAUAAAUGAUUCCAGCUCAAAAUGAUAAAACCUAGCUUCACAGUUCACAUGAAGAAAAAUCUUUCAUUUCUUUUUUUUCUUUGUGAUCACACGAAAAAAUAUGUUUAACCAAUGGCUGAGAUGAUCGAAGUGAAAUGGUGGAAAUCUGAAACAGUAAUGGGAUAACAGUAACUUAACCAGGUAUUAACCUUACAGAAAAAACAUGCUUUGUGUGUACAUGCACAUUUUCAUGUGAUCCAAAUGUGUUUUAUAUGUGCACCACAUGUUCUGCACAUAUAAACCACAUGUGGUCCACAUGUGCACCACAUGUUCUGCACAUAUAAACCACAUGUGGUCCACAUGUCUAAACGUGGUUUUAGAACAUUUUCUUAUGAUCUACGUGUGGGGGAACAUGUCAAACACAUGUGUAAACCAAGUCUUAGAGAUGGCUCAAGUUUGUUUAUUUCCAUAAAUUUGUAAUAAAAGUCAUUUAAAAAAUCUGUCUACCAAACAGUAGAACAGGCCCUUAAAGGGUUAAAUUAUGUCAGAAAACGAAACCCAGUUCACUCUUUGUGUUGGUGUCAGAGACAGAUGUUUAAGGUGUAUGGAUUUU